UACUGGGUUCAUCUCACUGGGGAGUGCCAGAGGAUCGGGCUGCAGCAGCUGACCAGCACCGAUCGUCUGGCACUCCCCAGUGAGAUGAACCCAGUA
rnacentral:pre_miRNA from 1 species